GUAACGGGGAGUGAAGCGGGAAGAGCUCGGAUUGUAAAUCCUUCGGGAGUUGUAAUCAGGUGCGCCUAACUGGAGUGCUGGGUAACUGCGCGUGAACCGCGGUCAGAGAGGGUGAUAACCCCGUCCCCCAGCGCCGAAGGACCGGCACCCUGUCACGAGUCGAGUUGCUUGGGAAUGCAGCUCUAAGCGGGUGGUAAAUUCCAUCUAAGGCUAAAUAUUAGUAGGAGACCGAUAGCGAACAAGUACUGUGAAGGAAAGAUGAAAAGGGCUUUGAAAAG
rnacentral:rRNA from 1 species